UACGUAGGGAGCAAGCGUUGUCCGGAAUCACUGGGCGUAAAGGGCGCGUAGGCGGCGACUCAAGUUAGAUGUGAAAGUCCUGGGCUUAACCUGGGGACUGCAUUUGAUACUGGGUUGCUUGAAUUCGGGAGAGGAUAGCGGAAUUCCCGGUGUAGUGGUGAAAUGCGUAGAUAUCGGGAGGAACACCAGUGGCGAAGGCGACUACCUGGCCUGUUUCCUUGACUGCUGAGGCGCGGAA
rnacentral:rRNA from 1 species